GGCUCAGAGCGAACGCUGGCGGCAGGCUUAACACAUGCAAGUCGAACGCUCGCAGCAAUGCGGGAGUGGCAGACGGGUGAGUAACGCGUGGGAACGUGCCCUUUGGUUCGGAAUAACUCAGGGAAACUUGAGCUAAUACCGGAUAAGCCCCUUACGGGGGAAAGAUUUAUCGCCGAAGGAUCGGCCCGCGUCCGAUUAGCUAGUUGGUGAGGUAAUGGCUCACCAAGGCGACGAUCGGUAGCUGGUCUGAGAGGAUGAUCAGCCACACUGGGACUGAGACACGGCCCAGACUCCUACGGGAGGCAGCAGUGGGGAAUAUUGGACAAUGGGGGCAACCCUGAUCCAGCCAUGCCGCGUGGGUGAUGAAGGCCCUAGGGUUGUAAAGCUCUUUCGACGGGGACGAUAAUGACGGUACCCG
rnacentral:rRNA from 1 species